GACGGAGGGGGCAAGCGUUGUUCGGAAUUAUUGGGCGUAAAGGGCUCGUAGCGAUCCGCCAGUUUGACGUGAAAUCUCCACCGCUCACCGGGGAGGGCCGUUGAAUACUACGGAGUCUGGAGUUCGGCAGAGGACCGAUGGGAAUUUCGGGUGUAGCGGUGGAAUGCGUAGAGUAUCCGAAAAGAACACCGGUGGCGAAGGCGGUGGAU
rnacentral:rRNA from 1 species